ensembl:lncRNA
UAAAAUUCUAAAAGAUAAUUUAUUGACGAAAAAUAUAUCAAGAGAUAAAAGAUAAAACAGUCCAGUGUCCCACUUAUGAAUUGUAUAAAAACACACAGUCCCAAGGCCAGAGCCAGCUAUGCCACACGGCCAAGUUGCACUCCACAUGUUGCCUUUAACAGGGUUAGAAGUUGUCCUUGGAGACCCACCACUAGUGAUGUGACGUUCUGUAUCGAGGCUUCGGAGCGUGUGUCGAGUAAUGGAGGGGGCGUUUCCGCGAAGCGCGUAUCGAGGCUUGCUUCAUUUAUGGGAGGAGCUGAAAAUGAUGACGUCCGAAGCCUCGCUGCCCGGCUGUACCACGUGACUGGUUCAUGAAGUGGUUCGAACUUUGCCGCGAGAUAUGACAGCGAUAUAAACCCUCAGACUUCAUUCAAAAUGUGGGUGUUUGAUGGAGAGUUGCGGUUAGUGAGAGUCUGGAGACAGUUUGGAGGUUUAUGAGAGUGAGGAGAGAAAGUCAGGAGAGAAUGGAGCCAGCUAAGAAGAGGAGGAUGUCCUCCCCUGUGUGGGAACAUUUUGAUUUUAUUCCUCCCAACAAGGUAUGUAAAUUUCUACAGAAGAUGUAUUGUCAUGAUACUGAUGGUGCAAUACAAUUUAUGUUGAGCUGUCUUGACUUUUGUACAAGGUGAAGUGUUUGCUAUGUGCCAGGGAGCUGGGAUAUAACAGCAACACCUCAUCCAUGCUUAGGCACUACAGAGCUUUGCAUGAGAAUAAGGGGAACACCGAUUGUGGAGCAAGACCAGGAGAACAAUCUCAAAUAGAUGAAGACCUGGUUAGCAUGGUGAUUGAGGACUCACAGCCAUUUAGCAUUGUGGAGGACAAAGGAUUCAAAAGAUUUGUUAAAUCAUUAAAUCCUAGCUAUGUUCUCCCCACUAAAAGGUCAUAAAAGCAGUGAAAAUUUAGUUUUUACAGAAUAAAAUGUGAACAGGCAGGACUGAGGCUCAAAGCCUCAGUGUGUAGCUGUCCAUACCUCAACGUUACAAAAGCACAACUACUGUCCACACCCCAACCACACCUCACCUCACAGUAAAUGAUCAUUUCCAUUUCAAGCAUUUCCAAAUAAUCAUUUCCCAUACUGCCAGUAUAAAUAUACACAGUAUACUGCC